rnacentral:rRNA from 1 species
GUGAAUCAUCGAAUCUUUGAACGCACCUUGCGCUCCUUGGUAUUCCUUGGAGCAUGCCUGUUUGAGUAUCAUGAAAUUCUCAAAGUAAAUCUUUUGUUAAUUCAACUGGUUUUGCUUUGGACUUGGAGGUCUUUGCAGAUUUCACGUCUGCUCCUCUUAAAUGCAUUAGCUGGAUCUCAGUAUAUGCUUGGUUCCACUCGGCGUGAUAAGUAUCACUCGCUGAGGACACUGUAAAAAGGUGGCCAGGAAAUACAGAUGAACCGCUUCUAAUAGUCUAUUAAGUUAGACAAUUAAUUUUAAGAUCUGAUCUCAAAUCAGGUAGGACUACCCGCUGAACUUAAGCAUAUCAAUAAGCGGAGGAAAAGA